rnacentral:rRNA from 1 species
ACAAUGGAGAGUUUGAUCCUGGCUCAGGAUGAACGCUAGCGGCAGGCCUAACACAUGCAAGUCGAACGGUAACAUAGAAAGCUUGCUUUCUGAUGACGAGUGGCGA